UCCCGGUUCUGUAAAUUGGCUGGUUUCUGAUGCUUUGCUGAAUCAACAAUUCUGCCCUCAGGGAAGUGAGCCUAGCUUUGCCCACAUCUUCCUCUCUCAGUAUUCCUUUCCAGCCUUCAUUUGACUGGCCCCUUCAGGUCUCCUCCCUUCUGGAUCCCGCCACCCUGAGAAGCCUAUAAGAACUGCCAAAAUUGGACCAAUGACUGUGACAAAGUGGCUGUGUUAGAAGAGACCUCGGUGGCCAACUACCUUUCUGACCUGUACCUGAAGAGAGUCCCCUCAAUAACAUCCAUAGCCAGUGUUCAUCUGGCCUUUUUCAGUGAUACAUCUAGGGAUUCACCCAUACCUCAGUUGAUCACAGGAAAUCCAGUUCUCUAUAUGGGAUCAACCAAGCGAAAGCUUCAUUUGGAAGGAGUACCUUGAUCACUAAAGAUAGAUGAUACAGCAUGGGAAAUGUCUAAUGAUAAGCUGAGGGAAUCAGUCACACACCUCUGGGCCAACAUAUAACCCAGUCAGAAGAUCUGGAGCUCCCAUCAGAGCUGGGAGUAGUGACUCUGGAGCAGCAGUGGCUGAUGGUGUCAUAGGCACCGGGAGCCCAGAGACAUACCGUGUUCAAGACUCCAUGAGGGCACCAACCCUCAGAUCACACCAUGAGCCACCCCUCGGGGCAACUUCCUGAGGACUCCAUGAAAUGAGAAAAGGACUUCAGAUAAGCAGCAGCUGUGAGUUUGCCCUUCAGUCCCACGUUCUCUCUGAGUUGGAGACCACUCUUCCCAGAUACCUUAUGAGUAAAAGAUCACAGUGUGCCCUUGACUGGGCAGCAUGUUUCUGUAUCAACUGUUGCCCAUCUGGGCCUAUAAGGCAAUAGU